UAUAGCCCCAGGCGGGGGCGCGCAUGCACAGCCGGCUCGCACACGGCGCCCCCUCUCUCCAUCUGGGCACACAGGCUUAGGCGGAGGCGCGCAUUGCGGCAGCCGUCCCCCCUCCCCCGCCCUAUGCCUGGCCGGGCGCUCCCCCCACCCCACCCCACCCCACCCAGCAGCCGCGUGCGUGCACUACCGGGUGCGCGCGGCGCUCCUGAACUCCCGGCCGGGGCCGCUUCCCGCCGCGUGCACGGAGGGGGGGGGGGGUGGGGGACACUUCCCGUUCGUCCAUGUGAGUGCCGCCGUGUGCACCACUGGGGACGGGUCCGCCGCUGCAGCCGGCCAGGACAGAGAGUGCGCACUUCUCUCCUCAAACGGCGGCAUGGCAUGUUUCCCGGCCCUUCCCUGCCUCUCUUCUUAUUCUAGGAUUCUGGGGCGCCAGGUCUCGCAUGUGUUGGUCUGUGAGUGGAAGCUUCAGUAAUGGUGGAACAGGAGAAAACCAGAAGAGGAGAACCAAGAGUCCCAGGAGACGCUAUCAUGUGAAACCUCAAGGUCCGAAGUGCCUAGAACAGUGUCCUGUAUAUGGGAGACAUUCAAGACACAUUUACUGAAUGAAUAAAUGAAUGAAUGGCUCUCAAGUCAAGCUGGCUGGGUUCACAGUCUGCCCCUGCCAUCUACUAGCAAUGUGAUGCUUCCCAGGCCUUGCCUCCAGCACAACGGAUGCAUUUCAGGGGCAGCAGCUGCACUUGUCUGAGCCCCCUUUGCAGAUGCAGCCCCGGGCACACUUGGCACAGCCCGGGGGGCAGCAAGGACAGCAGCCUGAAAAGGUCACAGGACAGACAGAUGCAAAUUCCUCCUAGAAGAGAAGACAGAGCCACAAGCGUAAGGACUGAGAUCGAACGAGGACACAAGGUGUGCUGCAGAUCGUCCCGGUGGCAAGGGACCCUCUAGAUGUAUGAGCCCCACCCCCUGGAGCAGCCUGGAGCCAUCGGUUCUAUUAUGCUGGUUUAUAUACUGACCUCUCUCUCUAGACUGCAUGCUUCUCAAAAACGAAGUCAGUCCGUAUUAAUCUCAGCAUCCCCGUGGCCAGGCACACUGAGUGCUGGCACACAAGAUCCAAAAAUGUGAAGCGUGCGGUGUGCGGAGGCAGUGGAGAACCAGAUGUGCGCAUCCUGCGGGCCAACCGCGACAGCAUCCAAAAUGCAGGGGCGCCUGGGUGGCUCAGUCGGUUGGGCGGCCAACUUCGGCUCAGGUCAUGAUCUCGCAGUCCGUAAGUUCGAGCCCC